rnacentral:rRNA from 1 species
AUACGGAGGGUGCGAGCGUUAAUCGGAAUUACAGGGCGUAAAGCGCGCGUAGGCGGUUUGUUAAGUCGGAUGUGAAAUCCCCGGGCUCAACCUGGGACCUGCAUCCGAUACUGGCAGGCUAGAGUCUGGUAGAGGGGGGUAGAAUUCCUGGUGUAGCGGUGAAAUGCGUAGAUAUCAGGAGGAAUACCAGUGGCGAAGGCGGCCCCCUGGACUGAGACUGACGCUGAGGUGCGAAAGCGUGGGGAGCAAACAGGAUUAGAAACCCUAGUAGUCC